GUCGUAACAAGGUCUCCGUUGGUGAACUCAGCGGUGCAGGGUACUACAAUUACCGAGUAUUACAACUCCCAAACUUCUCGAUAUGUGAACGUUACCAAACUGUUGCCUCGGCGGGAUUCUCUGCUCUCACGGGUGCGUCGCAUGUCCCCUGGUACCAAGGCGCUCACGCCGGAGGACCAACCAAAACUCUUAUUGUAUACCCCCUCGCGGGUUUUUUUAUAAUCUGAGCCUUCUCGGCGCCUCUCGUAGGCGUUUCGAAAAUGAAUCAAAACUUUCAACAACGGAUCUCUUGGUUCUGGCAUCGAUGAAGAACGCAGCGAAAUGCGAUAAGUAAUGUGAAUUGCAGAAUUCAGUGAAUCAUCGAAUCUUUGAACGCACAUUGCGCCCGCCAGUAUUCUGGCGGGCAUGCCUGUCCGAGCGUCAUUUCAACCCUCGAACCCCUCCGGGGGGUCGGCGUUGGGGAUCGGCCCUCCCUUAGCGGGGUGGCCGUCUCCGAAAUACAGUGGCGGUCUCGCCGCAGCCUCUCCUGCGCAGUAGUUUGCACACUCGCAUCGGGAGCGCGGCGCGUCCACAGCCGUUAAACACCCAACUUCUGAAAUGUUGACCUCGGAUCAGGUAGGAAUACCCGCUGAACUUAAGCAUAUCAAUAAGCGGAGGAAA
rnacentral:rRNA from 1 species